rnacentral:misc_RNA from 1 species
GGAGGAUUUAUGUGCAAUCUUGUACACAACAUCGUCUGCGACUGCGGACACAACAAGGCCAACUCUGAGAUGUUGAAGAAUGCCGCCAUGGCUUACCAGCAAGAGCUCCGCGCCCUGGUUAACUCUGGUCGUUACGACACUAGGGGAGAUUUCACGGUGGUGCUUCAGCCAUUCUUCAAAAACACAGAACCACCAACUUUGGGUGGUGGCUCCAUUGAUUUGAGUUUCUUUUCCCCGGAUUGCUUCCAUUUCAGCAAGAAAGGACAGAGCGCCGCCGGUCUCUCCCUGUGGAACAACAUGUUGGAGGCACCCCAAUAUAAAGAAGAGCAGUGGCAUCUGUACGGCGACUUCCAUUGCCCAGGAACACACGCUGGACAUGACCACUCUUUCUUUACUACAUACAAGAAUUAAGCUGGGACGCUUGGUUAUCGGAAUGCAUUAAAUUAUAGGAUAAUGAGGUGGUGUUUUAAAUCACAGGAACUCGCUGCUGUAUAAUCUGUCGGUUUACCAAAACGGUGUUCCAUGAUGAACUUAAUAAAAUGACAUAAAUCU